rnacentral:lncRNA from 1 species
UCCCAACCUGAGAACAACAGAUAUUAAUUUUGUGGCUACUAUGGGUAAAAAAAAAUUCUCAUAUUUUGGUCAUGGUAGAUGAAUGUAGCAAUGUCUAAUAAAAUAGCAAUGUCAAAUCAAUGCCUGAAUGACCAAAAUUUAUGAAUAAUUUUCAUACAAAGAUUAAUUAUUUAACUUUCAAAAUUAUUGAGGGUAUUUCCAUUGAGGAGUAGGAAUUAAGACUGGAUCCCUAAUAGGGUUUCUUUUUUGUUAUUAUUAUAAGUUUUACUUUUUUAUUAUUAUUGGUUUCUUCAUUUCAUUUGAAACUCAAGUAUAGAAUUCAAUUAAUAAUUCUCCUUAAUUGUGGAUACCCUAUUAUCAUUGGUGCAUGACUCCUCCAUUGGAUCAUUUUACUUAUUUUUUAUCUUACUAUCCACAACCCUAUUCCAUUUAUUCUAUCCUCAAAGACUUUUGCUUUAAGGUGUUUAUAAUAUAUCCUGAUAAAAUAAAGUGUUAUUUUUGUGUAUGUCUUUGUGUUAAUUUAUAUAAAUGGUAUUGUCAGUAUUGUCUUAUAGAUCAUACUUUGUUUCAGCUCUUUUCACUCUAAAUAUUUAAGAUGUAUUUUGUUGCUGCAUAUGCAUAUACUAUAUUACUUCUAAGUGUAGUACGGUAUUUUAGAUUCUGUAUCCAUUGCAUUUGCUUAUCUGUUAUUCCCUUAAGGAUGGACACCUAAAGUAACUUUCAACUUUCUGUAACUACAAAAUAAUUGUAAAUAUCCUCAUGGUAAAUAUCCUCAUGUAAGUUGCCUUUUGGUUUGUGUGUUAGUUUAUACUCAGAUGUGUGAUUGUUGGAGCAUAGGAUAAUAUAUAUAUAUAUAUGGAAUUCAUUAGGUAUUGUCAGAUUAUUUUCUGUGAUACUGCUUCAGUUACACUCCUCCAGUAGAUGAUGAGAUAUCAUUUCUUUACUUUCUUACCUACAACUGCUGUUACCUGAUUUUUAAUUUUUAUUAAUCUGAUGGAUGUUAAGGUUUACCUCAAUAUUACAAUUAGUAUUUCUCUAAUUCUAGGGCAUUUCUCUGAUUUCUACACCUAUUUGCCUUUGAACUUCCUUUAAAUGAUUUGCUUACUUAAAUCCUUUGCCUGUUUUUCUAUUGAGAUUCCCUGUCUUUUUGUUAUUCAUUUGCAGCUGUUCUGAUGCAUGCCAAGUAUUGAGCUAGUUUUCCUAACACUAUCUGGACAUUAGUUGUGGUGUGACUUUACUUUUCUGAUAGCUCUAAAAAGAAUUGUUGAUUUUCAGUUAUUUAGCUUUUUUCUUGUUGUGAGGAUGGGAUGAUAACCCCUAAGCUCUUUACAUGUGAGACCAGUGCUGUUGACUUUUUAUAGAUUGACUUUGUGUUUGGUAACUUUGCAGAACUUUCCUACUGGUUUUAAUUAUUGUUAAUUCUAAUUGUCAUUAGAUUUUCUAUGUCACUUUCAAGUAAUUACAGUUUUGUAUGUUUCUUUCCAGUUAUUGUAUCUUCUAUUUUAUUUUAUUUUAUUUUAUUUUAUUUUUUUAAAUUUUUAUUUAUUUAUUCAUAGAGAUGCAGAGAGAGAGAGAGAGAGAGAGAGAGAGGCAGAGACACAGGCAGAGGGAGAGGCAGGCUCCAUACAGGGAGCCUGACGUGGGACUCGAUCCAGGGUCUCCAGGAUCACGCCCUGGGCUGCAGGCGGCGCUAAACCGCUGCGCCACCGGGGCUGCCCCUAUUUUAUUUUAUUUUAUUUUAUUUUAUUUUAUUUUAUUUUAUUUUAUUUUAUUUUAUUAUUUUAUUUUAUUUUAUUUUAUUUUAUUUUAUUUUAUUUUUUAUUUUAUAUUUUAUUUUAUUUUUUAUUUUAUUUUAUUUUAUUUUUUUAUUUUAUUUAUUUUAUUUUAUUUUAUUUUAUAUUUAUUUUAUUUUAUAUUUUAUUAUUUUAUUUUUUUUAUUUUAUUUUUUUAUUUAUUUUAUUUUUUUAUUUUAUUUUAUUUAUUUUAUUUUAUUAUUUUAUUUUAUUAUUUUAUUUUUUUUAUUUAUUCAUGAGAGACAGAGAGGGAGGCAGAGACAUAGGCAGAGGGAGAAGCAGGCUCCUCCUCACAGGGAGCCUAAUGCAGAGCUUGAUUCUGGAACCCAGGGAUCAUGCCCUGAGCCAAAGUCAGUCAACUGCUGAGCUACCCAGACGUCCCUCCAGUUAUUGUAUCUUCUAUUCUCUUUUUUUUUUUUCUUACUGCAUAGGAAUCUUUGCUAAGUGACUGCUAAAGUUCUAUGAAUCAUUUCUCAGUAUAGUGGUCAUUUAGAUAAGAACAAGUUAUCUACUGACCCUUUGAGAUUUUCAUGGUUAACAAUAAUUUUUAAAUGAUUUAUAGGCUCUUAAGUGAUUUAUUUUCUUAGGAAUUUAGAAUUUUCCGUCUCUGGUGUCAAAUUUCAUAUCUCUACUUGAAGAUUUAAAACCUCUUUUUAAUUUUGAAUGACCAGAAUUUAGACAUUAAGGUUCACAAAGUUUUCAUUUUUAAUGAGAAUGGUUGAAUUAUUAUAUACUUGCAUGCAUGUAUUGAGAUGAUAAUUUUUCUUUUUAAUGUAUUAAUGUGAAUUUUGUUGAUUUUCUAAUAUUAAACCACCUUUGGAUUCUUGGCAUAAAUUCAACUUGGUCAUAAUACAUUUCUUUAAAAGUUAUUAAAAUGUAUUUUGUUUAUUUUUAUUAUAUGUUAUUUUUAUAUAUUCUUCUGGAUUUGACUUGCUAAUGUUUUAUGAUUUUUUUCACUGACUUUUUCAGAUAUAUAAAAUGCUUCCUUUCAGACAUUCAAAGAGUUUUUAAAAUCUUUCUGCUUAUAAACAAAGGAUUUUCUUUUUCUUCUUCUUCUUUUUUUUUAAUAGAUUUUAUUUAUUUACUUGACAAAGAGAGAGCACAAGCAGGAGGUGUUGCAGACAGAGGGAGAGGGAGAAGCAGGCUCUCCACAGAUCAGAGCCCUGGUGCAGGGCUCUAUCCCAGGACGCUGGGAUCAUGAACUGAGCUGAAGGCAGACACCCAACUGAGCCAUCAGAUGCCUCACAAAGGAUUUUCUUGCAAUAUAACAGUCGCUCUUUGUCUUUCUCAGAAAAAAAAAAAAUCACACUAUUACUGUAUUAAUAGCUGAAUUUACAUUUUACUACAAAAUUGUAUGUUUCAUAGUUAAAUUCCUGAAAGGCUGUGUGUUGAUUCAGAUCACCACUAUUAAGUGGUUAGUUCUCAUAUCAAAUCCUCACAAUACCAUGUGCAUAUCAUAUUUUUGUGGAUAUUUUUUGAUGUCACAGGCCAAAUUUGGAUUUCUUUGAAGGUAUGAAAAUAAUUACUGAUUUUUUUUUCUUUUAUCCCCCCCUAUGCUGUACCUUUUAUUCCCAUCACUUGCUCCAUACCUGGAAGCCUGUACCUCCCACUCCCCUUUAUCCAUUUUUCCCAUCUCCCUAUUCCCCAUAUUCAUUAAUUUGCUUAAUAAAUAUUUAUUGAAUAUGUGCUAUGUAUCUAGUACUAUUCUAGAAGCUGAGGAUACAACAUUGAAAAAAAAAAAAAAA